GACGAACCGUGCGAACGUUGUUCGGAAUCACUGUGCAUAAAGGGCGCGUAGGCGGCUUUUCAAGUCAGGGGUGAAAUCCGGCAGCUCAACUGUCGAAGUGCCCUUGAUACUGAUGAGCUCGAGGGAGGUAGGGGUAUGUGGAACUUCCGAUGGAGCGGUGAAAUGCGUUGAUAUCGGAAGGAACGCCGGUGGCGAAAGCGACGUACUGGACCUCUUCUGACGCUGAGGCACGAAAGCGUGGGGAUCAAACAGG
rnacentral:rRNA from 1 species